rfam:Alligator mississippiensis ScZkoYb_14, whole genome shotgun sequence.
GGCUCUGUGGUGCAAUGGACAGCACGUUGGACUUCUAUAGUAAAAUGCCAUUCAAAGGUUGUGGGUUCAAGUCCCACCAGAGUCG